UUCAGAGAGCUGUCGGUCGCCGUACAACGUGUCACGUGGAGUGCUUACGUUUAUACCUUUUUCGUUCAAUUUUUUUUCCUGUAUUCGUUCUAGCGGUUACGCCGUUGUUUGGUUUUGGUGAGUGGAAAUAGAAUUAAGCUGUUACUGUGGAGGUUCUUCGGCACGCUCUUAUUUGGUGCGUUUUGAGGAAGUGGAAAUUUUACGUACGGAGACAACUCCGUGUUUUUCCCUCGGCCGUUUUCUGCCGUCGGAGAAAUCUCUUCCUUAUUGCUUAAUCUACAAUCGUUAUGGUAGUAAAGAAGAUGGGAGUAAUUGGUUAACGGAAGACCAGAGCUGAGACUGCCAGAUGCCAGGAACUAUAGUGAGGUUGACUUCACGAGAAUCUUGGUGACAUGGAGGCUUGUAAAGGAAUUUUAAGAAAACUUAAAAGUUCCUGCUGUCAGUAACAAGUUCUGCUGUUCUGUUAGUUUAUUAAUAGAUGUCGCAAUGAGCAUAAAUUAAAUUUAGUGACUGUGCCUAUAACACUUUGUAUGCUAGUAUACUUCUGACUUCUAAUAUUGCAUUUUUAAUUUUCCUUUGCUUUUCCUAACGUUGUGGGCAUUUAAAGUGUAACUGCAAAGGUUCCUUUGGAUAGUGACAGAAAUGAAGGGAAUUAACACUUGAUUACUGGUGCAGUAUGACAGUCUUCUUGAUUCUGAGGCAUGUAUUUUCUACAUACAUUGUUGAAGUGGAAACUACAUACUUUGUUGAAGAUACUUCUUGCUUAUAAAAAUAAUUUUGAAUUUAUUUUGGCAGUGGAAAGAAAAUUUACUGCAUUUAGAAAAUCUUCAAUGCUAGAAGAUGGAAAGUUAAGGUUUGUACAAUAGCAAUUAGUUACGUAGUGUUAAUGGCUUGGUGCCAUGUGGAAGUGAUUUGCAGAGAACAUUCCAACUUAAUUUGGACUUGGAUUAGAAUUAAAAGAUUAGCGUAAUGACUAAAGCUAGGUAUUUGAACGCAUGAUAUGAAUAUUAACUAAUAUCCUAACCGCUAAUAGUCUAAAUAUAAGACUGGCCAACGCUAGCUGCGAUCAUACUAGCACGCUAUGGGGACUGAAGGCUGGGCUAAUAAUUUGGGUAUUUGGAACUUUUGAUCUGAAUGGCUAUGAAGCUUAAUAUAAAUCUGGUCAACGCCAGCUGAUUAUACUAGCACGAUAUGGGGACUGAAGGCUGGACUAAUAAGCUAGGUAUUUCGAUGUAUUGAUUUGAAUAAUUGCCAGUAAGCUAAAUUUGAAUAUGGACAGUGCCAGCUGAUUAAUAUAGGAAGAUCUGGGGACAUAAGGCUGUCGUGUAACUUAAGGCCUUUGCAAAUGAGAGCUGUGACGGCAGCUAUUGCUAGACACACUUGAGUCACCUUGUCUUAACAGCUUAACUAGAUAUAUUUAAUUAUAUAAAGCUUAAUGUUAUAAUAAAUUGGUGUGUUAAUGUUUAGCAACAUUAGAAAUUUUUAUAAAGGUCUUUUGGUUAUUGGGUGACUACUGUUUUGCUAGUGGUUUGGGUGACCCGUUGGUCAGGAAAUUAUGCUGGUUGCCAGUUUCUGGUUACCGUGGUAGUUUUUUGUAUUCUCAAUUAUUCCCAACAAGAUCCAUGUCAAAUACACUUUACCAUUAUGGA